AGUCGAGGGGCAUCGGGAUUGAAGCUUGCUUCAUUGCCGGCGACCGGCGCACGGGUGCGUAACGCGUAUGUAACCUACCUAUAACAGGGGCAUAACACUGAGAAAUUGGUACUAAUUCCCCAUAAUAUUCGGAGAGGCAUCUCUCCGGGUUGAAAACUCCGGUGGUUAUAGAUGGACAUGCGUUGUAUUAGCUAGUUGGUGAGGUAACGGCUCACCAAGGCAACGAUACAUAGGGGGACUGAGAGGUUAACCCCCCACACUGGUACUGAGACACGGACCAGACUCCUACGGGAGGCAGCAGUGAGGAAUAUUGGUCAAUGGACGCAAGUCUGAACCAGCCAUGCCGCGUGCAGGAAGACGGCUCUAUGAGUUGUAAACUGCUUUUGUACGAGGGUAAACUCACCUACGUGUAGGUGACUGAAAGUAUCGUACGAAUAAGGAUCGGCUAACUCCGUGCCAGCAGCCGCGGUAAUACGGAGGAUUCAAGCGUUAUCCGGAUUUAUUGGGUUUAAAGGGUGCGUAGGCGGUUUGAUAAGUUAGAGGUGAAAUCCCGGGGCUUAACUCCGGAACUGCCUCUAAUACUGUUAGACUAGAGAGUAGUUGCGGUAGGCGGAAUGUAUGGUGUAGCGGUGAAAUGCUUAGAGAUCAUACAGAACACCGAUUGCGAAGGCAGCUUACCAAACUAUAUCUGACGUUGAGGCACGAAAGCGUGGGGAGCAAACAGGAUUAGAUACCCUGGUAGUC
rnacentral:rRNA from 1 species